rnacentral:lncRNA from 1 species
GCUCUGUCUUCCAGAAAGGCUGUACCAGCAUGGAAUGACUAAUUCCUGCCCUUCUACCAUGCUGGCUUGUUCAGCGGACCAAAUGAAAAACUGAGAAAACUGUUGUGUCUUCCCGUAGGAUGUUGGAGUGAAUCUACCAUGCAUGACUCAUGUUUCCAUCCCUAUCAUCCUGGGUAGGGAAGCACCAAGCUGAGGACUCUGGAUCCUUUCAGGCUCUAAUGACAAUGCACAUCCAGCAUUUGUGGAGUAUGUAUACAGUUGUCUGGGCCAACUACUGUGGGAAGAGGAAAAGAAGUCACAUUGCUACUGGUCAUCAAGAGCUCACAAAAUAGAUGUAGACAUCAUUUGGGGCUAUCUACUUAUCCUAGUGAUUCUCAACUGAGGUUGAUACUUAAAUUUUUUUUUUUCAUUUUCUUUUUUUUUUAAGUUUCAAGAGGUUGAUACUUUUGAUUGUCACAAUGAUUGGCUUUUGAUUGUCACAAUGAUUGGGAGCGUUAUUACCACUCACAUAUAGUAAAUGAAGGAUGGGAUAGUCCUACACAAAAAAUUAUCUAGCUCCAAAUGUCCUCAGUGUCUCUGAUGAGAAACACUGAUCUAGUCCAUAGUCAGGGCUGCCAGGUAUGGGUGUGCAGGUUGCCCACUGUACAACUCUUAAGGGAACCAUUCACCUGGUGGCUAAGUGUGUCAAUUCUGAAACCAUACUGCCUGAGUUCCAGUGCCAACUGGAACUGCCCCCCACCCCCUACUUCUUUUUUUUUUUUUGAGACCGAGUCUUUCUCCACCACCCAGGCUGCAGUCCAGUGGCACAGUCACAGCUCACUGCAGACUCUACCUCCCGGGCUCAAGUGAUUCUCCUACCUCAGCCUCUUGAAUAGCUGGGACCACAGGCACCACCACCACACCUGGUUACUUUUUAAAUUUUUUGUAGAGAUAAGGUCUCCCUAUGUUGCCCAGGCUGGACUCAAAACUCUGAGGCUCAGGUGAUCCUCCUGCCUCGGCCUCCCAAAGUGCUGGGAUUACAGGUGUGAGCCACCGGACCUGGCCUGGAAGCUCUUGAACAUAUUGCUUAUCUUCUGUGGACCUCAGUUUCCUCAUUUAUAAAAUGGGAAGAGCAAUAGUAAUAUAACUCAUACUGAUAACAUAAGAAUAUGUUAUCAAUAAUAUAUGUUCCUGCACAUAGCAGACAUUCAAUUCAUGUUCAAUGAUUAUUAUUCUCUGAGAUCUGACUUCCCCAUUGACUGGGGUGGGGCCCUGGUGUCUACUCCCUGAUAAAGACCACGUAUGCCUGGAUUCCUGCUCUCCCUGAGGCUUAACUUUCCUGGUUCCACCUGUAAUCUCAUUGAGAACUCCCAUUGUUGCCUAAACUUGCUUGAGAUGGUUUUUGUAAUCUACAACCAGAAGUCUUAAUUACUAAGACAAGGUGAAAAGACUCACCUGUAGGAAACACAGUAGAUAAUACAAAAGGGCUUUCAAGUUAGUGUGAGACUGCUUGGCAUAGAAAGACGAUAAAUGCCACAGACAAAACCUAAUCGUAACUGAAAUAAAUAAAUUCGAACAACAAAUUGUUAAGUGAAUGGAAUGCAGCUAGCUAGGAUCUCAUGCUCUGUUCUAAGAAAACAGACAGGUCAAACAAUCAGGACCAGUCCAGACAUGUGUCUGGGAAGUUAAAGGAAAGAGACCCUGUCCCUCAAAACCUUCCUUACUAGUGACUCAUGUCUUCGUUUACCAGGAGGUCUUCUUUGAAAAUAUGAAUGUUUCUGGGAAGGGUAAUCCAGAAACCUACUGAGGCUCACCCUACUAGGAAUGUAUUUACCAUUUUUCUUUUCUUUCAUGUCUGUUCAUUGAGAACACAGAGAAUGUAUUUAUUCAGUGACUUUCUCUCUCCUCCACUUCCCAACCCCAGCUACAAAUGGGGACAGCAAGAGAGAGAAAACCUGGGGAGAACGGAAGAAACCAUGCUUUGUAGAAUGGAUCCUGCUUCAGAAUUGCUGAUCUCAUCAACCACAUGUUUAUAGAGAGAGCAGUGGCCCUUAAGGAACUGGAGAGAAUGCUCUGAUUUACUUCUGUCCGGCAUGGUGAACAGCAGGAUUGGCUGUAGCUGUUCUCUUUGCCAAGGACAGAUCUGAUCUGAUUGCCUUGAGGUGAAAGUGAGGAAGUGAGGAGCGUCUCUGCCCGGCCACCCAUCGUCUGAGAUGUGGGGAGCGCCUCUGCCCCGCCGCCCCGUCUGGGAUGUGAGGAGCGCUUCGGCCCGGCCGCGACCCCGUCUGGGAGGUGAGGAGCGUCUCUGCCCGGCCGCCCCGUCUGAGAAGUGAGGAGACCCUCCACCUGGCAACUGCCCCAUCUGAGAACGGCAUUCCAGAUUUUUCUGCAGUCCAGAAUAGAGCACCACCACCAUAGCAUUUCAAGCUCAUUCUAAGUUCAUCUUAUCAAUGACAAGAGGAGACACGUUGUUCAUUCAUGUAUGAGGUAGUACUUUCCAAUUGAAGACAUUGCUUUGAAAGAGACUGCCAAAUUGGUUUCAUUGAGAAGGAAUGAAAGAAGCUAAAAGGCUUUCACCUGAGAUUUGACAAUAGCCAGAAAACCUCUGUUAAUAAUGAAUGUUUCCCUAUCUGCAAAGUGAAGAUAUGUUUCAAUGCUUCAACGCAUAGGAAGUCUGUAGAACAGUGCAAAGAAUAUACAGGCAUACCUUGAAGAUAUUACAGUUUUGGUUCCAGACCAUCAUAAAAAGGUGGAUAUUGCAAUAAGGCUGGAGUGCAGUGGCGUGAUCUCGGCUCGCACAACCUCCACCUCCCAGCCGCCUGCCUUGGCCCCCCAAAGUGCCGAGAUUGCAGCCUCUGCCCGGCCGCCACCCCGUCUGGGAAGUGAGGAGCGUCUCUGCCUAGCCGCCCAUCGUCUGGGAUGUGAGGAGCCCCUCUGCCUGGCUGCCCAGUCUGGAAAAUGAGGAGCGUCUCUGCCCGGCCGCCAUCCCAUAUAGGAAGUGAGGAGGGCCUCUUCCCGACAGCCAUCCCAUCUAGGAAGUGAGGAGCGUCUCUGCCCGGCCGCCCAUCGUCUGAGAUGUGGGUAGCACCUCUGCCCCGCCACCCCGUCCGGGAUGUGAGGAGCGCCUCUACCCGGCCGCGACCCUGUCUGGGAGGUGAGGAGCGUCUCUGCCCGGCCGCCCCGUCUGAGAAGUGAGGAGACCCUCCGCCUGACAACCGCCCCGUCUGAGAAGUGAGGAGCCCCUCCACCCGGCAGCCUCCCCGUCAGAGAAGUGAGGAGCCCCUCCGCCCGGCAGCCACCCCGUCUGGGAAGUGAGGAGCGUCUCCGCCCGGCAGCCACCCCGUCCGGGAGGGAGGUGGGGGGGUCAGCCAGCCGCCCCGUCCAGGAGGGAGGUGGGCGGGUCAGCCCCCUGCCCGGCCGGCCGACCCGUCCAGGAGGGAAGUGGGGGGGUCAGCCCCCCGCCCGGCCAGCCGCCCCGUCCGGGAGGUGAGGGGCGCCUCUGCCCGGCCGCCCCUACUGGGAAGUGAGGAGCUCCUCUGCCCGGCCAGCCGCC